AUUUUGGGCGUAAAGGGCUCGCAGGCGGUUUCUUAAGUCUGAUGUGAAAGCCCCCGGCUCUACCGGGGAGGGUCAUUGGAAACUGGGGAACUUGAGUGCCCUAGAAGAGAGUGGAAUUCCACGUGUAGCGGUGAAAUGCGUAGAGAUGUGGAGGAACACCAGUGGCGAAGGCGACUCUCUGGUAUGUAACUGACGCUGAGGAGCGAAAGCGUGGGGAGCGAACAGGAUUAGAUACCCUGGUAGUCCACGCCGUAAACGAUGAGUGCUAAGUGUUAGGGGGUUUCCGCCCCUUAGUGCUGCAGCUAACGCAUUAAGCACUCCGCCUGGGGAGUACGGUCGCAAGACUGAAACUCAAAGGAAUUGACGGGGGCCCGCACAAGCGGUGGAGCAUGUGGUUUAAUUCGAAGCAUUGCGAAGAACCUUACCAGGUCUUGACAUCCUCUGACAAUCCUAGAGAUAGGACGUCCCCUUCGGGGGCAGAGUGACAGGUGGUGCAUGGUUGUCGUCAGCUCGUGUCGUGAGAUGUUGGGUUAAGUCCCGCAACGAGCGCAACCCUUGAUCUUAGUUGCCAGCAUUCAGUUGGGCACUCUAAGGUGACUGCCGGUGACAAACCGGAGGAAGGUGGGGAUGACGUCAAAUCAUCAUGCCGCUUAUGACCUGGGCUACACACGUGCUACA
rnacentral:rRNA from 1 species